rnacentral:rRNA from 1 species
UACGUAGGGUGCAAGCGUUAAUCGGAAUUACUGGGCGUAAAGCGUGCGCAGGCGGUUUUGUAAGUUUGUCGUGAAAGCCCCGGGCUCAACCUGGGAAUGGCGAUGAAGACUGCAAGGCUUGAAUCUGGCAGAGGGGGGUAGAAUUCCAUGUGUAGCAGUGAAAUGCGUAGAGAUGUGGAGGAACACCGAUGGCGAAGGCAGCCCCCUGGGUCAAGAUUGACGCUCAUGCACGAAAGCGUGGGGAGCAAACAGG